UACGUAGGGUGCAAGCGUUAAUCGGAAUUACUGGGCGUAAAGCGUGCGCAGGCGGUUAUGUAAGACAGAUGUGAAAUGCCCGGGCUUAACCCGGGAACUGCAUUUGUGACUGCAUGGCUAGAGUUUGGCAGAGGGGGGUAGAAUUCCACGUGUAGCAGUGAAAUGCGUAGAUAUGUGGAGGAACACCGAUGGCGAAGGCAGCCCCCUGGGUCAAGACUGACGCUCAUGCACGAAAGGCGUGG
rnacentral:rRNA from 1 species